rnacentral:tRNA from 1 species
GCCUCUGUAGCUCAGUUGUUUAGAGCGCUGCACCUGAAUUGCAGGACCGCAGGUUCGAUUCCUGCCCGGAACC